UACCAUAUAGUUGGGUCGCUGAAGUAUUGAUUGAUUAAUGAACUGAAUAUUUCAUGUGUCCGGUGGUGCCUUUUAUUUUCCCUUACUGGUGGCAUUAUCCUUGGCCAGAGCGCAACGUCUGGGUCUUGAUCCUUCCGCCCAGCACGACUAUUGCUGCCCCGUUGACAUUGUAAUUGAAUCAAUAAUAAAAUCAAAAUGUACGACGAUGACAAUGACACUUGGAUUUCGAUUUCGAUUUCGACUUCAACUCCGACUUUCCGUCUCCGUCUGGACAGAAACCCUUGUUCUCCGUUCUCCGUCCCCCGUGCUCCGUCUUCCGCGUUCCCGUCUGUCUCUGAAUCCAUGUCCGUGUUCGUUUCGCUGUCCGUGUCAUCGUGUCAUCAUUUCAGCAUUUCAGCACAAGGAACGGGAACGGGAAUGGCAACGUCACCAUCGCCGGCUCUCGAGUGCCGGACCCCCCUUUUUGAAAUCCGCUGGGUAUAGGUGUAGGCAUCGAACUUGGUUUACGAUUCGGUCGGGUCAGAUCUACUCCAUAUACAUAUGUGGGUACACAGUAAGAAAUUCGAUAUGACUCAAAUAAAAAAAAAUUCGAUUGAGAGCUUAUUCAUAUUUGGUCCACAGGCUUAGACUUGUUUACUGAUCUGGUACUUGAUUGUAAUUUAUUCAAAAGAUUGUGAAAAUACUAGAAGACACCAAGAGUUCAGAUGGGAACUCAGACUAUCACUGGAACACUAAAAGGGUGUAUUACAUUGGAAUUGGAAAGUGCCCAGAGACAUUGUGACAUCAAGCGCCGGUGCUGUUGCAAAUGAUCAGGGAACCCAUUAGCAGUUGAUCCGUGCCGUGCCAAACCAAACCGAACCGAACCCACAAACUGAAGAAGCUCCUCGGCAAACGACUUGACUUUGUCAGCCAAAUGACAACACGGUAUAAAUCACAAUAAUAUGUUCUAUGUCAGAAGUAUGGCAAAUCUGGCGGGCUUUCGACCACAAUCAGGAUCUCUAUAUAGAAACAAAAUUGGCAGAAGUGUGGACAUACCUAGC
rnacentral:misc_RNA from 1 species